AUUGAACGCUGGCGGCAGGCUUAACACAUGCAAGUCGAGCGGGGUGAUGGUGCUUGCACUAUCACUUAGCGGCGGACGGGUGAGUAAUGCUUAGGAAUCUGCCUAUUAGUGGGGGACAACAUCCCGAAAGGGAUGCUAAUACCGCAUACGUCCUACGGGAGAAAGCAGGGGAGCACUUGUGACGUUGAGCUAAUAGAUGAGCCUAAGUCGGAUUAGCUAGUUGGUGGGGUAAAGGCCUACCAAGGCGACGAUCUGUAGCGGGUCUGAGAGGAUGAUCCGCCACACUGGGACUGAAACACGGCCCAGACUCCUACGGGAGGCAGCAGUGGGGAAUAUUGGACAAUGGGGGGAACCCUGAUCCAGCCAUGCCGCGUGUGUGAAGAAGGCCUUAUGGUUGUAAAGCACUUUAAGCGAGGAGGAGGCUCUUUUGGUUAAUACCCAAGAUGAGUGGACGUUACUCGCAGAAUAAGCACCGGCUAACUCUGUGCCAGCCGCCGCGGUAA
rnacentral:rRNA from 1 species